UCGGGCGUCCGCGCGGCUCUCCACUUCUCAGCCGGGCGGCAUCAAAAAAAGGAGGAAGAAACACCCCCGGCUCGGGGUGCGGCAGUGUGGAGACCUGUCGUAAUGCGGCGCGUCCCUUUGCGGAGGCCCGCGAGGACAUACCAGGCGGAGGCCGUAUGUCCGGAGCCGAAAGAAUGGCA
rnacentral:ncRNA from 1 species